UACGGGGGGGGCAAGCGUUGUUCGGAAUUACUGGGCGUAAAGGGCUCGUAGGCGGCCAACUAAGUCAGACGUGAAAUCCCUCGGCUUAACCGGGGAACUGCGUCUGAUACUGGAUGGCUCGAGUUUGGGAGAGGGAUGCGGAAUUCCAGGUGUAGCGGUGAAAUGCGUAGAUAUCUGGAGGAACACCGGUGGCGAAGGCGGCAUCCUGGACCAACACUGACGCUGAGGAGCGAAAGCCAGGGGAGCAAAGCGGG
rnacentral:rRNA from 1 species